UGACCACGACUUAGCCCUCCUGUUGGA
rnacentral:piRNA from 1 species